CACUCUUGUUUUCAAUUGCGGUCCACAAGCGUACCCAGCGCGCUCUUGCACGACUCUACGGUCUGCGCCCCAAUAAGAUUACUUCGGUCACGAGCAUCACCUGUUCCAGGAGCAACUGCUAUUGCUUCUACAUUCCAUCGCCAGUGGCGUGCUGCUGGUAGACUGGACUCGUCUCCUCGCUCUGCGCUACUACUGGUUCUGCACUCCUGUUUUCGACUGCGGUGGGUCCUUAGCCCGCUCCUGCACAUCGAUUCUCCGUUCUGCGCUCCAAAAGAGGUUACUUCGGGCACGAGCAUCACCCGUUCCAUGAGCGACUGCUAUUGCUUCUUUCUCUCACCGAUGGCGUCCUGCUGGCAGACUGGACUUAGCCUGGCGCCCUUGCACUUAAUUCUGGUCCCCAGCGUUUGCUGUCGCUUGUGCCGCAAGAGAAACGUUCCAGCACUCUCAUUUACAAGAACAUUCCUGGUCUUGCCUCACGAGCAACUGUCUUCAGCCCGGUCGCCCUGCCGCUUUCUCUAUACAACAAGCUACCUCAUACUAGUGAACGUGUCGCACGCCUGUCUUGGCGGUGUCCUGCACUGUGUUGACGGCGUAUUCAUGCCCUGAAGGACUGCGUGUGGUCACCGUCCCGAGACUGUCCAUCGGAUGUGCUCCUACAGUUCGCUGUUGCCUUUUUUCGCAGGCAUGUUUAAGUUUUGUGUAGCAAGCUUUUCUGUUUUGGAAGAGUGGCACGUUGCUCCGCGAAUGGAUAGCGCUUCUACGAAUCGGGUAAUACGAACCAGAGCAGUAAAGAUCUAGUUAAGUGGACACCACUCGUUACUUAAUAAGGACUGUCGAUGUUGUCAUGAGCCGAUCUGUAAAUUUUUGGUGGCGAGAGUAAUGGACAUUCAUUCAUUGUGCUCUUUCGUAGUAGCACGUGUGUGUGUGUGUGUGUGUGUGUGUGUGUGUGUGUGUGUGUGUGUGUGUGUGUGUGUGUGUGUGUGUGUGUGUGUGUGUGUGUGUGUGUGUGUGUGUGUGUGUGUGUGUGUGUGUGUGUGUGUGUGUGUGUGUGUGUGUGUGUGUGUGUGUGACCUACUCUCAGCUCCUUUUUUUCGAUCGAGAGCGUAUGACGCGAGUUCCGCUGCUACCUGGCGCACUUCGAACCUUUUGUUUUGGUAGCAUUUCCAGCGUCACAGUUGCUUCACUUUCCCCGGUUCAUUCCUGUUAAGAUUCCUGGCUUCAUGGUUUACUAUCGUCUAUGGACAUGCGCUUUUGGCUGGUCGAACCGCUGGUUUCUUUGGCUUUGGUCCAUGGGUUGAUCUCUGUGCUUGUUUCAUCGUUCAGCGUAUUUGUUCAGGCGCCUUCCUCGUGCCAGAAAUGGUCUUCACACAUUUUCGGUUCUUCCACGUCGCUCAUCACUGACUCGAAAUGAUUAACAUGCCACUACAAAAGGACACAAUGUGAAUGAAUGGGAAUGG